rfam:Gossypium raimondii Chr04_contig_34, whole genome shotgun sequence.
AAAUAAAUUAGUCAUCUAUUUACAUUGUUAAAAAUUAACGUCGUUGACAAAAUAACCAGCAGUGACACAUGGCAUGUCACGCGUACCUCAUGUUAACGUAUAGAGACUAGUUUUUAACAGUAUAAAUGGAUGAAAAUUUUAACA